rnacentral:rRNA from 1 species
CCUACGGGAGGCAGCAGUAGGGAAUCUUCCACAAUGGGCGAAAGCCUGAUGGAGCAACGCCGCGUGAGUGAUGAAGGCCUUCGGGUUGUAAAACUCUGUCAUUCGGGACGAACCGGAGUCUGAGGAAAUGCAGACUCUCUGACGGUACCGGAGGAGGAAGCCCCGGCUAACUACGUGCCAGCAGCCGCGGUAAUAUGUAGGGGGCAAGCGUUGUCCGGAUUCACUGGGCGUAAAGCGCGCGCAGGCGGUGAUGUAAGUCUGAGGUGAAAACCCGAAGCUCAACUUCGGGACUGCCUUGGAUACUGCGUCACUUGAGGAUAGGAGAGGCAAGGGGAAUUCCACGUGUAGCGGUGAAAUGCGUAGAGAUGUGGAGGAACACCUGUGGCGAAGGCGCCUUGCUGGCCUAUUUCUGACGCUGAGGCGCGAAAGCGUGGGGAGCAAACAGGAUUAGAUACCCUGGUAGUCCACGCUGUAAACGAUGAGUGCUAGGUGUAGGUGGGCUCAUACCCAUCUGUGCCGAAGCUAACGCAUUAAGCACUCCCGCCUGGGGAGUACGGUCGCAAGACUGAAACUCAAAUGAAUUGACG